CCGGCCCUCAGGAGGCCUGGGGUGUUCACCCGGAAGCACCUAACUCGCAACACAGACCCUGGCCAGCGCCCCGCGGGCCGGGGAACGUGAGGCCCUUCACUCCCUUGAGGUCCUGCUCCUCCCAUCGCCCUCCAGUCAUCACAGCGCCUGCCAUUUGGUUUGCUGCGGAAUCAGAGCACUUGCGGAAGCAGAAGGCGCAGCUUUUAUAGAAGAUGAAGGCGGCGGUCAGCACGAUGGCCAGGAGGAAGCCCAGCACGUCCAGAGAGUGGUACUGGUACCAGGUUUUCAUUCGGUUUUUCCUUCCCAAGAGUCUGUUC